rnacentral:rRNA from 1 species
UCGAGAAUCUUCCGCAAUGGGCGAAAGCCUGACGGAGCGACACCGCGUGCAGGAUGAAGGCCUUCGGGUUGUAAACUGCUGUCACGCUAUAGGAAUGCCCUGUGGUUAAUAUCCACAGGAUUGACCAAAGCGAGAGGAAGCACCGGCUAACUCCGUGCCAGCAGCCGCGGUAAUACGGAGGGUGCUAACGUUGUUCGGAAUUACUGGGCAUAAAGCGCACGUAGGCGGUCUGCUAAGUCGGUCGUGAAAGCCCCCGGCUCAACCGGGGAAUUGCGUUCGAUACUGGCAGGCUCGAGGACGGUUGGGGUGAGUGGAACUCCAGGUGGAGCGGUGAAAUGCGUAGAUAUCUGGAGGAACACCGGUGGCGAAAGCGGCUCACUGGACCGUAACUGACGCUAAGGUGCGAAAGCUAGGGGAGCAAACGGGAUUAGAUACCCCUGUAGUCCCUGAGCGGGCUGGCAAGGCGCAU